GUCGAGCGCACCUUCGGGUGAGCGGCGGACGGGUUAGUAACGCGUGGGAACGUGCCCAGAUCUAAGGAAUAGCCACUGGAAACGGUGAGUAAUACCUUAUACGCCCUUCGGGGGAAAGAUUUAUCGGAUUUGGAUCGGCCCGCGUUAGAUUAGGUAGUUGGUGGGGUAAUGGCCUACCAAGCCUACGAUCUAUAGCUGGUUUUAGAGGAUGAUCAGCAACACUGGGACUGAGACACGGCCCAGACUCCUACGGGAGGCAGCAGUGGGGAAUCUUAGACAAUGGGGGAAACCCUGAUCUAGCCAUGCCGCGUGAGUGACGAAGGCCUUAGGGUCGUAAAGCUCUUUCGCCAUGGAUGAUAAUGACAGUACCUGGUAAAGAAACCCCGGCUAACUCCGUGCCAGCAGCCGCGGUAAUACGGAGGGGGUUAGCGUUGUUCGGAAUUACUGGGCGUAAAGCGCGCGUAGGCGGAUUGGAAAGUUGGGGGUGAAAUCCCAGGGCUCAACCCUGGAACUGCCUCCAAAACUCCCAGUCUAGAGUUCGAGAGAGGUGAGUGGAACUCCGAGUGUAGAGGUGAAAUUCGUAGAUAUUCGGAAGAACACCAGUGGCGAAGGCGGCUCACUGGCUCGAUACUGACGCUGAGGUGCGAAAGUGUGGGGAGCAAACAGGAUUAGAUACCCUGGUAGUCCACACCGUAAACGAUGAAUGCCAGUCGUCGGCAAGUAUACUUGUC
rnacentral:rRNA from 1 species